rnacentral:rRNA from 1 species
GACGAACGCUGGCGGCGUGCUUAACACAUGCAAGUCGAGCGGUAAGGCCCCUUCGGGGGUACACGAGCGGCGAACGGGUGAGUAUCACGUGAGCAAUCUGCCCAUCACUUCGGGAUAACUCCGGGAAACCGAAGCUAAUACCGAAUACGACCACCUCCGGCAUCGGAUGGUGGUGGAAAGUUCCGGCGGUGAUGGAUGAGCUCGCGGCCUAUCAGCUUGUUGGUGGGGUAACGGCCCACCAAGGCUUCGACGGGUAGCCGGCCGGAGAGGGUGACCGGCCACACUGGAACUGGGACACGGCCCAGACUCCUACGGGAGGCAGCAGUGGGGAAUAUUGGACAAUGGGCGAAAGCCUGAUCCAGCAACGCCGCGUGAGGGAUGACGGCCUUCGGGUUGUAAACCUCUUUCAGCAGGGACGAAGCGCAAGUGACGGUACCUGCAGAAGAAGCACCGGCCAACUACGUGCCAGCCGCCGCAGUAAUAC